GAGAGAGACAUGCGCGCAUAUCAAUAAGCGGAGGAAAAGAAACUAACAAGGAUUCCCUUAGUAACGGCGAGUGAAGCGGGAAGAGCUCAAAUUUGAAAUCUUCAAGGUUUUACCUUGACGAAUUGUAGUUUAAAGAAGUGUUUUCUGCUGAAGUUUUGGUAAAAGUUCUUUGGAAUAGGACAUCAUAGAGGGUGAGAAUCCCGUAUUUGACCAUUAUUUUCAGCUUUGUGAUACACUUUCAAAGAGUCGGAUUGUUUGGGAAUGCAGUCCAAAAUGGGUGGUAAAUUUCAUCUAAAGCUAAAUAUUGGCGUAGAGACCGAUAGCGAACAAGUACCGUGAGGGAAAGAUGAAAAGAACUUUGAAAAGAGAGUUAAACAGUACGUGAAAUUGUCAAAAGGGAAGCGUUUGACACCAGUGUUGUUUUCUCGAAAAUCAAUUAAAAAUGGCUCGAUUUUGUAUUGCUUGAGACCUUAAAAGCUCACUGUACAUUUUUCGUGUCCUUUUUAAUGCACUUUUCGUUUAACAAGUCAACAUCAGUUUCUUUUGUUGUAAAAGGGUCAUUGGAAGGUGGCUUUCUUUUCGGAGAAAGUGUUUAUAGCCUUUGGCCUCUGCAAUCGAAGAGACUGAGGUCUGCAGCGUAGACUCUUCGGGGUUAGAUACAUUUGUGCUAAGUUAUAGCUUUUUAUAGACAACUUGUUGACUAUAAUUAGUCUUGUAGCUUACUCGCUUAUGCUAUUUUACCUACGCUUAGGAUGUUGAAGUCAUCGUAUCGCGC
rnacentral:rRNA from 1 species